UUGUUGCUUUAUAACUACAACAACACUGGAACCAAAUACCCAGUCACCAUGAUGAAUACUGUCCAAACAUGUUUCCAUAUGCAAGUUUUCAUGGAACCCGUGUAGGGGAGUAAGAGUUUACUUGUAGCAUUUUUUUUCCAACUAUCUUUGCAUGUUGCAAUUAUGCUUACCUAUAGGCGUGCCCAAAUCACCCACCUGGCCCAGAUUUGCAAUUCUGGGGACAGGUUCAUGUCAGCAUGCAACACCAAAGGGGGUUGUGCUUUUUGUGUUUUCCAACUUGUGUUCUCAUAUGGCAGCAUGCAACCUCAAAUUUCUGCCAGUUUUGCCUAGAUAUGCAGAUUUCUACCAGUUUUUAAACAUGGAUAAGAACAGGAAGCAGUAAGGGGCUGGGUGCUGGCAAUUACCUUCAGAAGUCUGUUCUGCAACCUCAAAUUUCUGCUUUGAUUUUUGCUUCUGGGGCAGCUUGCAUGGAGAAUUUCAUGGGAGGAAGAAGGCACCCGGGGGAGAAGAAGGAGAUCGGGAUCUGGAUUUGAUGCUUGCUUUUUGCUUUUUUUUUUCUGCCUUUUUUUUUGCUUUUUGCGUUCUUGUUUGUUUUUCCUGUGUUCUGCUCGCGCGAGGGGGCAACUUCCUACACCCCAGAACGGCCAGGGAGAACGGCGAGCGCGGGCCCACCCCCACGGCGCGCAAAUCAAGUGUGUGGGGGAGUCCGGGGACAGCAAAUUCCAUAUGUGAAAAGCGCAUCUGAACUUUUUCUUUUUUGGAUGUGCACCCUGGGCCACCCUACAGUGCACAUGCACCCACUAGUCACGUCCUGGGAGUAGUUAUUUUCGGAAUUUUACGAGCAAAACGCUCCCAUUUUCAUUGAUACGAAAAUGUUACACAAAACCAUCUGCUACCGGACCCUGCUACUCCCAGCGCGCGGUAAAUGACCACUGCCACGACUCACCAGUAAUCACCAGCGCGCGGCUCCACGUCACCAAUCCGCCUGACCUCAUCCCCAGCCAAUCAGAGCACGCAAAACCCUCCCCAUGGAUCGCUCCCCAACACCCGAUCCCAACCGUCGACACCCCACCA
rnacentral:lncRNA from 1 species